CAAUAGCGUAUAUUAACGUUGUUGCAGUUAAAAAGCUCGAAGUUGGAUUUCUGGAGGGAGCGUCGGCCCGUAUUUACGAGUGCGUGACGUCUCUGUCCAUCCUUGCGGGAAGGCACGGCAUUGAUUUGUUGUGUCGGAUCGCAUCAUUUACUGUGAAAAAAUUAGAGUGUUCAAAGCAGGCUUUCGCUUGAAUACAUUAGCAUGGAAUAAUAAGAUAGGACUUUGGUGCUAUUUUGUUGGUUGAGCCUAAAGUAAUGAUUAAUAGGGAUAGUUGGGGGCACCUGUAUUGCGUUGUCAGAGGUGAAAUUCUUGGAUUUACGCAAGACAAACAGCUGCGAAAGCGUCUGCCAAGGAUGUUUUCAUUA
rnacentral:rRNA from 1 species